AUUGAACGCUGGCGGCAUGCCUAACACAUGCAAGUCGGGCGCGCGGCGGACGGGUGAGUAAUGUAUGGGGAUCUGUCUGAUGGAGGGGGAGAACUACUGGAAACGGUAGCUAAUACCGCAUACCAUCAGAUGAACCCACAUGGGAUUUGCUGGUAGGUAAGUGAACGGCUUACUUAGGCGACGAUCCCUAGCUGGUCUGAGAGGAUGAUCAGCCACACUGGGACUGAGACACGGCCCAGACUCCUACGGGAGGCAGCAGUGGGGAAUAUUGCACAAUGGGCGCAAGCCUGAUACAGCCAUGCCGCGUGUAUGAAGAAGGCCUUCGGGUUGUAAAGUACUUUCAGGCGGGAGGCGUUACCGACAGAAGAAGCACCGGCUAACUCCGUGCCAGCAGCCGCGGUAAUUC
rnacentral:rRNA from 1 species